UUCGAAACUGGCAGGCUUGAGUCUUGUAGAGGGGGGUAGAAUUCCAGGUGUAGCGGUGAAAUGCGUAGAGAUCUGGAGGAAUACCGGUGGCGAAGGCGGCCCCCUGGACAAAGACUGACGCUCAGGUGCGAAAGCGUGGGGAGCAAACAGGAUUAGAUACCCUGGUAGUCCACGCCGUAAACGAUGUCUACUUGGAGGUUGUGCCCUUGAGGCGUGGCUUCCGGAGCUAACGCGUUAAGUAGACCGCCUGGGGAGUACGGCCGCAAGGUUAAAACUCAAAUGAAUUGACGGGGGCCCGCACAAGCGGUGGAGCAUGUGGUUUAAUUCGAUGCAACGCGAAGAACCUUACCUGGUCUUGACAUCCACGGAAGUUUUCAGAGAUGAGAAUGUGCCUUCGGGAACCGUGAGACAGGUGCUGCAUGGCUGUCGUCAGCUCGUGUUGUGAAAUGUUGGGUUAAGUCCCGCAACGAGCGCAAC
rnacentral:rRNA from 1 species